CUGUCUUUAGCAGAUCCCGCGAGAGCAGGACCCAGCCCCCACCCACCCCCUACCCUUAUCUUGGCCCAAGGGAUCGAGGGGAGGUAGAAAGAGUCAAGAAGAAAGGUGUCUCAUCUUUAUGCUGCAAGUCCGUCAUGAACCCUGGAGCGAAAGGACGGAGGGAUGGGGAGCUUCAUUUCGAGCCGGGCGGUAACGCAGGACGGAGGUUCGCUCUGCUUCCCUAUGGAGCGGCUUGUCCCAAUCUAAAGUUUGUGCUUUGCCUUCCCUGCUCCCGAAACCUCGAGAUCUCUUGGGAAGCAGUUCACCGGCUGCAGAUCGGCCCAUAAAGGUUGAUAGUGUGCCUGCUGUCUGCCAAGCACAAAGAACAGCCAGAGAUGCUCCUGCUUCCCCAAUCCCUGGGUAGGACUCUGCCCCCAGCAAAAAGCCGGCCGGCAUUCGCAAAACUACAUCCACGUUUUUUGGGAAGUUUCAUGUUAGUUGUGGAAAGUCCUCACUUAGCUUCCGCAGUUUGAAAUUCCCUUAGGAUUUGUAAUAAUAUUUGUGAGAAGACUAACUGACCUGGGUCAACUCGUGCAGCAAAGUUUCAUUAACCUUUGUUGUAUCCUGCACCCUUUUGGCACUGGUGAAGCCUUCUCAAAUUUUUUUCAGGGCAUAAAAUAAAAUACAUAGUAUUACAAGGGAAACCCUGAUAUUUGAUCAGAGGCAGCUAGGUGGUACAGGAUAUGGAAGUGUUGGCUGUGGCUAGAAUCUGGAAUCAGAAAAGAUCUGAGCUCUAGUAUGGUUCUCUGUGGCCCUAGGGGAAGUCACUUAACCCUUUUUAUAUAGCUUCAACAUUCCUAUCUGUAAAAUGAGGAUAAUUAUAGCACCAAUCUCGCCAGGAAUUGUGGGGAUUAAACGAGAUGUUUGUAAAGCACUCUACAAACUUUAAAGUGUUAUGUAAAUGGUAAGCGCUGAUGCAUUUAUCUAUUACAUAUUGUUGACUGGGAAAAAAAAAAUCAGAUACUUCCCAGCUGUGUGACCCAGGGCAAGUCACUUGACCCCCAUUGCCUAGUCCUUUCCACUCUUUGGCUUUGGAACCAAUUCCAAGACAGAAGGUAAGGGUUUUGAAAAAAAAAUUGAUGCUAAAAGGAUGGUCCCUGCCCAGGUGUGGGUCUUCUUGGGAAAGGGUCUAAUGUUAUUCCAAUGUGGAGGACUACCUAAGACAAAAAGAAUAUUUAGCAUUUGCUUAGUGUCACCUAACUGGGAUUGCCAUUUACUUUAGGGUCCAUUAUUCAGUCUGAGACUCCCUUCAGGGUGGAUUCUCUGGGAAGGGGGGAACAAGUACAAGCUUUGGGGCAUCCAGCUUACAAGCUAGUCCUAAAACGUGGGGUUCAUCAGAUCUUACUAGGCUACAAGUUUUCUAGAUUCCAUGUUGACAAUAUAUAAAGUUCAUGGAUUGACCCCAAAUUAAAAUUCCUGUUAAAGAUUCUUAAUGAUCUCUUCUCAAUCAUUAUCCUCCUUGAUCUUCUCUGCAACUUUUGACAUUGUUAAUCAUCCUCUUCUCCUAGAUACUAUAGGUUUUCCUAACAGUUUCCAGUUUCCAGCUUCCUCAGGCUCUUUCUGGAUUUUAUCCAUACCACUCUCACUUUCAGAGUCCUACAAGGCUCUGCCUUAGGUCCUCCUCUGUCCCCAUGUUAUCUCCUUUCAUGAUAUUAACAACUAGCCCUAGUAUAACUCAUACCCACUUAGAAGAUUCCAAGAUCUAUCCAUCCCUAAUCUGCCCAAGUUUCAAUUCUUUACCAACUGUUUUUUGGACACUUUAAACAUAUUCAGAAUCAACCCAUUAUAUUUACUCCCAACCCCAACCAAACACAAAUCCUACCCUCUUUCCAAAAUUCCUAUUAUUGAAUAAGGCACAUAGUCAUCUAAAUUCACCUCUGGACUCCUCAUUAGUGUUUGCCUCAUCUAUCAAAUUUGUUGUCAAAUUUUGUUUUUUCUAACUUCACAUUUCUCUAUUUUGGCUCAUUCUCUCCCAUUUCCCAACACUUCCACACUAGACUAUUGCAAUAAUUUUCUCACUGAAUCCCUGCUACAAGUCUCUUCCCUUUGCUAAUCUAUCCUCUACCCAGCUGCCAAUUAUCCUCCUAAAGCACAAGUCUGACCAUAUCAAUCCCCACUCAAUGAAUUUUCCUAUUAAUUCUAGGAUUGAAUGUACACUCCUCUAUUUGGCAUUUAAAGCCCUUUACAACCCAAUCCCAGUGUACUUUUCCAGUCUUAUUACUCUGUAUUUCCUGCUACAUUCUCUACAAUCCAACCACUCUGGAUUUCCCCAUGCCUUUUUUUACUGACUCUUCACUCUUGCAACUCUACCCCCUGAAUACCUGGGCUUCCUUCCAGACAGCUCAAAUACCAGCUUCUGAAGCAGGAGGCAUUUUCCUAGCUUCUCUACCUCCAUUCCCUUCCCUCUGAGAUUCCCUUCUAUUUAUACUGUACAGGUUGUUCUGAAAGUCCUAGUGUAGUUUUAAGCUUCUGAAUCUUAAACAGCAGUAAGACAAAUGGGAAACCCUCUAUAUAGCUUACAUAUAUAGUUAUUUUCAUGUUUUCUUUAUGUAGACCUCUACUGGAGCCAACUCAAACUGAAGCAAAUAGUUAAAUUUUCACUGUGACCAUUUUAUGCCUCAGCAAUUGGCAAAUGUUGCAAAUCAGGGCUUGAUUUAUUAUUUUGUUAAUUAGUUAGAUUUAAGAAAGCAAUGGAGAAAAUUUAUUAAUACAGAUUAAAUUUAUAAAGUUAUUAUAGGUACUUUUUAGUGCGGGAGAGGAGAACCAGUUGUCAAAUGUUUACCAGGAUAUUGAUAGUAAGCUCCAUUCAAGUUAGGUCCAUAUUUUUGCCUUUGUAUCCCAGCACGUGGCAGUUUCUGGCACAUAGUAAGUAUAUAGUAAAUGUUUGUUGGUUUCCUUGAAGUCUUGGAUUAGACACAUAAUAGCUAUGUGUCUCUGAUCAAAUCACUUUUCCUUAAAGUUAUAUAAAAUGUGGAUGACAUGUGGCCUAUUUUACUUAGAAGUUUGUUGUGAGGAAAGUGCUAUGUUAAGCUUAAAUGACUAUUGUCAGGAUGAUAUUAGAAAAUAAGUAUUGUUUUAUUAGUUUAGGAUAAAAAGUAGAGUGGCUGGCUUGAUGCAAGAAUUGAAGUUUGAAACAGAGCUGAGAGCAUGUUAAUUUCAAUUGUUGACAGUUAUAGGUUUUUCUGUGUCAAUUACUCUCUCUGGCAGUUGGGAAUUGAUCUUUGGCAGUUGGCAUAGACACACACUCAAAGUCUCUCUCUCAGGGCUGGAGGAGGUAGCAUCUUUGUCUCUAUGUCUGAGGGAAAGACCUGAAGGAGCUCAGUGUUUCCCUUUCCCAAUUUGGGAAACACUAUUGAAUAUCUAUUAUGGUUUUAUAGAUUGUUUAACUCUGAGAAGACCAAAGAAAAACAUGGUCUUUGGUUUGGACUCUGAGGAGUCCUAACUUGAUUCUUGUUGAGAUUCAACCAUCUAGCCUUUGCUAUUUUAUAAUUUGAAGACAAAGUUAAGAAUUAUAAGAAUAAUAGUGGUAGUUUUAUUUAGAUAGUAUAAAUCUGGGUUAGUCAGAUUAGGGAGGAUUAGUGUAGCCUGUGAAACACAAGAGAAGAGGUUCCUUACAGAAGCGGGCAGUUUAUUUGGGUGGAUUUAGAAUGCCUUAGAAUUAGAAAUCCUUGUUAUCCUUAUAUAUUUCAAUAAAUAUUUUAUUUUUAUAAUAAGAGACUCUUUAGCAUCCUUGUGCCUUGCCCUGAAGGGAAGUCCAAAUUUGAGCUUCACUUUAUCACUGAAGAUACUUUUGAUUGCAUCUAUCAAAAGUAUCAGAACAGUUUUUAACCUGUAUUGGUGAGUUUUCCAUCUAUUUUUAUAACUCACCAGUUAUUAUUUUUACACUAUGGAAAUGAAUUGUUGCUUUUGUCAUAGGACUGAAUUUAUUACACUUAAGAUCUUUUUAAGCAUAUGUUAAUAUUGUUGAUUUUUUGGCAUUAGUCCUGUGAUUGACUUCAUUGAUAUAGGUAUUUCCUUGUGAAUAGUUUCCUCUUUCAAUGUAGAAAUAAACCACCUCUGCAACUUAAUGAUUUGAGCUUUGACUCCUUAGACCAGUUAAGUCUCAGGAUGGUUUCAAUAACUGAGGAAAAUUAAGUUAAUAUGUGUGGAGGAAAGCCUUGAAAAACUAACAUAGCCUUUGAGGGACACACUGUUCCUACUACCUUUCAUACUACAUUAACCCAACCAAUCAAUAGAAAUUCACUAAGAAUCUGUUGAGAGCAGUUAGGUGGCUCAGUGGAUAGAGAUCCAGGCCCCAAAACAGAAGGUACUGGACUCAAAUCUGGCCUCAGAUCCUUCCUAGCUGUGUGACACUAAAGAAAGCACUUAACCCCCAUUGCCUAGCCUGUACCAUUCUUCUGCCUUUGUUACAAGGGAAUCACUUUAAAAGACUGAUAUAUAUUAAUUUAAGGUCGCCAAGGAAUCAGCUAUGUAAUUCCUAAAUGAAAAACUCAAGUCAGCCGUCAGCCUUUUUUGGAGUUUAAUUACAAUAGGAGCAAGAAAGGAAUUAGAUAUAUAUAGAGAGAGAGAAAGGGGAGAGAAGGGAAUAGGGCUUAAAUACCCCUUCUGUUUAGGCUGAACCAAAAGGCCCAAGCCCUUAGAUAGCUGGGGCAAAGAAAAGAGAUCAGUCCCUUUCACUCACGUGUCCAAAAUGGAGAAACAGUCUCAGAGGCCCCCACCUUCAGCUUCCUUCAGAGCAAGCUUCCUCAGAGCCCAGGAACCACACCGACCAAAAACUCCAUCCUCUCUCCCGAGUCUCCAGACCCUCCUAUCUUUAAGGACACCAUCCAAGUUGCCUCCCCUCAGUCCUCACAUCUACCAAUCACUCUUCAUCAAUUUCCUUGUCAAUGGAGGCUCUCGCUUAACCCAGGACCGCCCAGAGGUUUCUGGCUUUUGCACAUGUCUGUUGAAGGUCAUAUUUUUCAAAUGAUUAAAUCUUUACUCCUUUGUUCCAGCCCUUUCUAAAUCCUGUUAACUUGAGUAUGGUAGAGAUUGGAAUAAUUAAAUUUUGAUCUAGGCUGCAGCCCUUACUCAAUCCUAUUAGGACUGAAUAGGGUGGAGUAUCUCCAUUGUAUCAAUUCUAAAAUCAAUCAAGACUCAAAGAAAUUCCUGUUCUAUGCUCAAGCAUAGGUCAAAGUCCUUUCCAUUGUUCAGCAAAGGGUUUCUGUCCUAAAGUAAUCUUAAGAAGGGAAGAGAAGGAACCUCCCAUGCCAAUGGAGUUCCCAUUCCAAUAGACUAUCAGUAAGAAAUUUUCCAAGUAUGAAAUAUCCCAAUGGUGAAAUUUCCAACAUUUAUAAGUCUAAGGAAUUUUGAGGUUUACACCUUAGAACCAAUACGUAGAAUUGAUUCUAAAAUGGAAACUAAGGGUUUGAGAAAAAAAGAACCUAAGAUAUAACAAACUGGGAAAACAAAAAAUAGCCUCUACUCUUAAAGACCUUAUUUUUUUAUGGGAGACAAUAUGUGUAUAUAUAAGUAUAUAGUAUACAUAAUAAAUACAAAGUAAUUUGGCUUUGGUAAUGUAGAGGCAGGUAGGUGGUACAAUGUUGAACCUUGAGUUAGGAUCCUUUUGCUCUUCCUGCUAAAGCUGUGUGACCCUGGGCAAGUCACUUAACUUUCAAAGUCUAUGAAGUAGGGAUAAUAAUAACACCCAUUUCCCAGGGUCAAGAUAAAAUGAGAUAAUAUUUGUAAAACUUUAUGUAACUUAAAGCACCAUAUACAUACAUUCAUAUGCAUGAGAAGCCAACAUUAGUGUCUAGAGCAGGGAUGGUGAACCUUUUAGAGACCUUAGAGACCAAGUACCUAAACUUCAACCCUCUUGCAUGUGAGUCUCCCCCUUACUCCAGACCGAGGAGGGAGGAAGCAUUCCCGCUGGGCAGAGGGAUAGGUGAUAUGAGAAAUGUCCUCAGGCCUGUGGAGAGGGGGAGGGGCAGCCCCCUCCAGAACAUAUGCCAUAGGUUCUCCAACAUGGGUCUAGGGUAUUUGAAAAAAAUUUAUAGAGAUAAUGGAGCUUGAGCUGAAUUUGGAGGAAAUCUAGGGAAUCUAAGAGAUGGUGGUAAAGAAGGACCACAUUUCAGGUAUGAGGGACAGCCACACCAAAGAUGAGAAAUAAGUGUUAUAAGUGAAAAAUAGUCUCAACCAAUUUAAUUGGACCAUAUAGUUUAGAAAGAAUGACAUGUAAUAAGGCUGGAAAGGUAGUUUAGGGACAAAUUGUGAAGGGCAAAAGGAAUUUAUAUUUGAUUCUAGAAAUAAUAGGGAACCAGUGGCACUUAUUAAAGGAGUGAUGUGAUCAGACCUGUGCUUUGGGGAGUAUUAUUUUAGCAGUAGUGUAAAGGAUACAUUGGUAAGUCAGGAGGCUAAAAUAGCAGGGAAACCACUUGCACUGGUUCUGGCUGUGUGAGUGGAAAGGAGACAGAUAAGAGAUGUGGAAAUAAAAUCAACUAGACAUAGCAAUAGAUUAGAUUAGGGUGGUGAGGGAGAGUGAGGACUCCAGGAUGACACCAAGGUUUGGAACUGAGGCAGCUAGAAAGAUUGCAGUACCCAUAUCAGAAAUAGGGGAAUUUGGACAUGGGGUAGGUUUAGAUGAAAAGAAAACAAGUUCUUUUGUGGACAUUUUAAGUUUAUGAUGUCCCUAAUUUGAAAUGUUCAUUGUCAAUUGAUGAUAUGAUACUGAAUCUUGGAAGAGUGUCUAGGGUUGAAUAUAUAGAUCUGAGAUUCAUGUACAUAGAAAUGAUAAUUAAGUCUAGAGAAUUGAGGCAUUAUAGAGUUUAUCUUACAUUAGCCCUUUAUUAAUCCUGUGUGGUUGAUAGUACGGGUACAUUUAUCAACCAAUACAACAAUAUCGAUGUUGUGGUUGUUAAUACUUAUUUUUCACACAAUUUUACAAAUGAAACAGCUUGACUAAUGUCACAAAACUAGUUGUGUUCAAACUUAGGAUUCAAAAGCAGAUCCAUUUAUGUCUAGUUCUUUUUCCAAUAUAUCUUCUUCCCUGGCACUUAGCCCAGGAGAGCCACCCUUUCCCCUAUCCUCCUUCACAGGCCUAUGGCUUGUUUAGUCAUUUUCCAGUCGUGUCAUUUUCAUAACCAUAUUUGGAGUUUUCUUGACAAAGAUUAGAGUGGUUUCUCAUUUUCUUCUCUAGUUCAUUUUACUAAUAAGGAAACUGAGGCAAACAGGGUUAAGUGACUUUAUCAGGGUCAUACAGCUAAUCAAUGUCUGAGGCCCAAUCUGAACUCAGAAGAGUCUUUUGUCUCAGUCCUAGAGCUCUAUCCAUUGUGCCACCUAGCCGCCCCAAAGACUACAGGAUGCUUCAUGAAAUCUCGUCUCUAUGAGGAAAGUCCUUCUAUCCUCUCAGGCUAACUCAGAAACCAUUCAGAUGACCUUGUGACCUACAGGGAGAAGCACUGACCCUCCAGUGGGAUGGCUUGAAUGCUUGGAUGAGAUGGGUGUCAUGAACUUUGUCCAUUCUUAAGAAAGGGAGGACCACCAGGCUUUACUUUGCCCUGCCUCUGCCUUCUUAAGGACUUCUAGGCCUUACCUUUCAUUCAAACUCUAUGCCCUGGACCUUGCCACCUACCCCACAUACAUAUACCCUUAGGACUUCUGGGCCUUUUCAUCUGCCCUGUAAUUUAAGUUUAUGUGCCAUCUCCCCCAAUUAAAACAUUAGUUCCUUUAGAACAACAGUAUCUCACUUUUUCUAUUUGUAUCCCCAGCAUUUCACAUAAUGCUUCCACACAGCACCUAAUGAAUGAUUUUCCAUUCAUUCAGUAUAAUUAGUAAUAUAUCUGUAGUAAUUCAAAUUCCUUGGAGACUGUAUAUUAAUUUACACUUAUUUAUUAGUAAAAGUUAAAGAGAAAAAAGAGAAAAUUAAUACCGAACCACUCUAACUAAAGAAAGCCUACAAGCCAUGCAGCACUGCCCGUUAUAGCUCCCAGCUGAGGCUCAAAUGGAGCUUCAUACUCCAGAGAAAGAAACAAGUUGUAUGUCCAACCAGUGAGAGAGUCAUGAGUGAAAGAGUGAGCUGCUACCCCAUCUUCUCUCUUAUGAGGCCAAUGACAUCACUCCUUCUGAGACUCUUAUUGGACAGUCGGGGUCUAAGUCCUGACUUCUAGACAUGUCAUCCACACAGGGACUAAGCAUUCAGUCACAAGACUUGAUGGCGUCCUUCCUAAUGAGGUGAGUCUGCUACAAUAGGGGAUAUCCUUUAUACUUAAUUCAUACAUAACACUUGUUAAUCAUUGAGUUGAUUUGAGAAAGUGGCUUUUAAACCAUAGCACAUUUAUGAUGAAGUCAUGAAUUAAAUCCAUGAAAUAAAAAUUAAGAAUGCUACCAAGUUUAGCAUUUCUUGACUUGGAUCAGAAGAUCCUUAUUCUGAAUUAAAUAAAGGAUAGAUAUACAUCCACGUAAAUUAUUUCAAUUAACUCAAUUUUUCAAUAACUAAUUCUAUAAUUUUACAACAAUUAAUAGUUUUAAUAAUUUCUACAAUUUCAAUAAUUCAGUAAUUUCAAUAAUUUUUCAAUAAUUUCAAUUCAAUAAUUUUCAAUAUUUUUGUCAAUUUCUUCCCUAGUACACCAAGCUGCUCUAGCAUGAAACACAGUGGUUAAUAGGGGCUUAAUUAACAUUUUCUUAAAUUUCCUCAUGGCAGAACCUCUGCGUGCUUAUUUAGAGUACAAAAGCAACCAAGCAAAAGAGAAUAAACACAUAUGUAUGUCUGGUUUCUAAAGAAGCUCAAGAUAUAGAUCCUUUGCAAUAGGGCAUUUCUUACUAGUUCCUUACACUUUGGCAAGCUGUUAUAACAAAUCUUCUGUUCCCUUCAACAGUUCUACUUCCUGCAAUAACCUAACUCUUCAAAGUAGUCUGUUAGCAAAUAUUUGUAAAGCAGUAAAGUAUCUAAAUAUAGCUGUUUGGGUUGUUGCAGGGCAGAUUACCAUUUGGUUCUACACCUUAUUCAUGUAACUUAUAUGGGGUAUCCUAUGAAAAUGUAACCUUUGUUCAAAUCCUGAGCAUUUUAUCCCAAUAAAGAAGGUCUCUGGACUUCUUCCAUCUUUAGAUCCAUGGUACUAUAAUCCUUUUUCCAGAAGAGUUUCCAAUGAACAGAAACAAAAUAGCUGAUAAGUCUAUCAAGCACAAUCCCUAAUACCAAAAGAGUUCUACUAGCCCAUGUUUUUUUGUCAAUAUAACUGCUGUAUUCUUUGUUGUUGUUAAACCCUCACCUUCCAUCUUAGAAUCAAUGCUAUGUGUUAAUUCCAUGGCAAAACAGCAGUAAAGUCUGGGCAAUUGGGAUUAAGUGAUUUGCUCAGGGCCAUACAGCUAGGAAAUAUUCUGGAGGUUACAUUUGAACCCAGGACCACCUAUCUUUAAGUCUGGCUCUCAAUUCACUGACCCACCUAGCUCAUGACCAAGCCCAGAAGAUAAAUUUCCCACAAUUAAGUUGGAAAAUGGAGUUUUUCUUCAUCUGGGAGUUUAUGCCCCACUUGUCAUUAUAAGUUUACUUCUAAUGUCUUCAUUUAUAUACCCUCAGUGCUUAGAAUAGCUAGUGGUACAUAACUAAAUGCUUUCUCAUUCCUUCAUUUCAUCCCACAAGGAAUCUUUAAAGGACGGAUUUAGAAAUAUCAUGAAUGCAGAUUCAUCUCACAACCAAAAUCCAUAACAAGAACCCUAGUGACAAUGAAAGGCAGGAGGGAGCUUCCUCAUUAGUAUACCUUGUCCAUUGAAUGGUUUAUACUCCGGCAAUUACAUCUCCACAUCCAUUCCCCUCCUUCCAUUGCUAGGAUAUUUUCUUUCUUCCCUAAUGUCUGGGAUGUGGUUGGACAAUUAACACAGGAAGUAGCUAGAGACACGACUAAGGAAGCAGAAGAGUAAUCUUCAAGAUCAGAGAGAGAUGCUAAGACAAUAAUGGCAACUAGAGAUGGUGGCCACAGAAGAGGUUACACGUCUCUGACAACAUAGCUUUGAUUUCCUCCCAAGUUCUACUGGAUCCUGAGUCUCCUUGGGCCUCCUUGGGCAAGAGCUCUUCUGGAUUUUCAGCCUCUUCAUCAGUGACUACUAGAAAUGCACCUCUGACAAGUCCAUAAAGACAUUCUGAACCCACUGAGGCAAAAGCAGCCAGAAGAGACAUAUUUGUAGUUCUGCCUCAGACCUUGGCAAGGACCAGUCUUGACCUUCUUGGAGCUUCAGUUGGUGACUUGCCUCUUGGAGGUGGUUUUGGACUGGGACUUCAGCUUUGAUUUGGGACCUUGGCUUAUUGGACUGCUCCUGGAUCUUCUCCUUUGGACUUCAUCUUGGAACUCAAGAGUCAACAGACCUGACUUUCAUCCUUUCUUGAUACUGAAUUGAACUGAGGAGCUCAGAUUCAUUCACAUGGACAUUCAGAUUCAGGCAUUGAGCUGGUGGAGUCAUCUGAGAUGAAGCUGGCCUGGUGUCACUAGAAUCCUUGCUUGGACAGAUCUUGUGGUGAGUGAUUAAGGACUGACUGAUCUUUCUCUUAAGGCUUAGGCCUGGGUUGGCCAGGGCUGCCCUGGGCUGGCCUAUCCUUUUCUCAUUAUUU